GGGGUCUGUCCAGAAAAGGCAGGUCAGGAAGCGCUGGCCCAGGGCCUGACGCUGCUGCUUUAGGAGUGCUGGAGCCUCCGGGCCUCAAGGACUUCCAAGAGCUUCACCCGCCCGCGGAGGUGACGGUUUCCGCGUACAGAUCUGCCUCGGGCAGGACGCGGUCUUACCACCGCUGGCAGGCCCUUCCCUCCUCCACCUGCUGGUCCCCGCCUCAGAGCUCUUGGGGACACAGUCCAUGGCCAGUUUAACAGCAGAGUGCCUCGGAGCUUGCGUGAAACGGACGACCCUCUGAGAGAACGGAGGGGGACAGCUGCCAAGCAGCAGGCCGCGGGGCAUGCGAAGGUCCUCCAGGGCACGGUGGCAGGCGACGCCUGCGCCCACCGGGGACGUUCGGCCCACGUUCUCCUGUGCCUAACGCGGUUCCUCUGCUCCCAGCCCCCGAGAGCAGCCGCGUCGGGACACAGCUCCGCUCACCGUGGCCUGUCUCAGCUUCUCCCAGAGACCUUUUCUGAUGAAGGCCCUGGACCCAGGCUCCCAGCCCCCCUGCCAGGGCACCCCUCGCUCCUCUGGGAGGGGCUGCCCGUGGAGCUCCACGGCGGCCAGUGCACAACACUAUGAUCCAUCUGCAUAUCCAGCAGGAGGGAGGAGGCAUCACUGUCACAGGUGCACCAAUGACGCCUAAAAACUAGUCACCCAAGCAGGGGUGUCUUCACACAGUGGCCCUGGCCAGCACUACUGCAUGGGGUCUGGGGCUUGCCCUGCCAUAAGCUGCUUACCUGGGCAUCAGUCCAUCCCCACUCACCUGCCUGGCUCCUUCCCAGGUCCUUCCUAGACAGCUCCAUGCCCCCUCCAGCAGGCUGCAGACCCCCCCCCAUCUGCACCCCCUCUCCAGCAGGCUGCAGACCCCACCCAUGCUGAAUACACUCUGGCCACACAGACCCCCAGGUCCUGUGUUUGACACAGCCUUUGUAGCCUCACAAUCCACACGCCGGGCACGUGAGCAGCAUUAGAGGCCACCCAAGGAAGUGGGUGGGAGCCAGGCGUUUCACUCACCAACAUCCUGCCCACACGCAGUUUCUCCACAUAGAGCGGCAGGUCCCACUUCUCUUCUACACGUAGCCUGUAGCUAUUGCAGGUGGUGCUGGGCUAGGCCUGGAGAGCCUUGAGGGCCUGGCCACCCACCAGGUGGGUCUGGGACAAGCUUCCCAUCAUGCUUUCUAUGUGCAGACACCACAGACUGGUGUGGGGACAGACCCUAGGCUGGGGUACAUGCCUGUGGUCAGGAAGCUGGGUGAGCAUGGACAGGGUUCAGGAAAGGACAUCCCUCCACCAGCAAGGGAGCAUGAAUGACUAUAGAGCAGAGGCCGGGAGGUCGGGGGUGCCUCUUGGCCCGGAUGGGGCUCCCUGAGAAGAGCUAGGACAUAGGCACGGUAGAAAACCAGGAGGUCAGCAGUUUUGGAAACCACUUCUCCGUGGAGCAGGAAACAAAUAUUGUUAGUUUUCAGCAGAGGUCCCAGGCUUUCAGGGGCCUCCAAAUAAGGCACGACUUCCAGGAAGCAAAGCUGAGCUUCAGGCUGGACAUAAGACACAAGGGCAGUGACAAUGUCUAAAUGGAUGGCAUUAGUAUCCAUGAAGGCACGAGAGGAGGUCUGAAGAAUCCCUGCCUAAAACACCAGAGACUAACAGAUUGCAUGGAUUCCUUAAAGAGCUGACAUCAGAGCUGGAGAAUAAGCACUCGGGAAAAGGCUGCUGGAUGAAUGCAUGCCCCAGACGUCUGCAAAGACCUUUGCUAAGAUAAUAAAGGGUUUACCAAUAUCACUUGGGAUCACAAAGUCUAAAGUACUAAAAUGUCCUACAAUAUAGGCUAAAAGUGUGGCAUUUAUAAAUCUUUUAAGAUAUCUUUUACUUUUGGAACUACUGAAAUUUUAUGAAACUCAAAAAUGUGACUGUCCUAUUUUGGAAAACAAGCUGACAAACAUUUACUAAAUUAAUACAAUUUUUAAGUGGCAAUUUUACUUGAAGGGAUUUGCUACAAAAAUUCUUCAAACACAAGACUGUCCAACUAGGCACUUUUCUUUAAGAAUCAGAAACUGAAAAUAAACCAACUGCUGUGAUUAAAUCAACAAUUAAUUACGGUACAUCCAAAACAGCCUUUAAAAAGGUUUCUAAUACCUUUUCAUGUUCUGUUCUCUAGAGCUCUUGAUUUCUUUUCUAAGUUAAAAGAGACAAAUUACAGGACAAUAUCUGGAGUAUGGUAGCCCAUUAUUUUCUUAGCAAAACAAAAUUCAACUGUUAAUUCUGAAGGUUUGAUUAUAAAGAAUUUUCAUUUUCUGAGUUAAACAUUUGUUUUUUGCAAUUAUUUAGAAUGAGCAUAUUAUCCUCGCAGUCAGGGGAUAAUAUCUAUCUAUGCUUCAUAAAAUCUUUUAAAAAUGAUAGAAUUGAACUAAAAUUGUGAAUUUAUUGAAUUUAAUCAAGAAGCUCUCCUCACGGGAAAUUUUGAGUAGUUAAGAUCUUUUUUUAUAAAGCAGUUCCUUGUAUUAACACUGACAUCUAGGGGAUCUAUCUCCAAAUUCAUCUAAGUAGCAACAAAGUCUACCAAAACCUUCCAUUUCUUGUUGAAAAUUCUGGUUCAGCAAUAACUAUAUACUAUUCCAAAAUGGGAUGUUAAUAUUUAUAAGAG
rnacentral:lncRNA from 1 species